rnacentral:rRNA from 1 species
GACGAACGCUGGCGGCGUGCUUAACACAUGCAAGUCGAACGGAAAGGCCCUGGUUUUGUGGGGUGCUCGAGUGGCGAACGGGUGAGUAACACGUGAGUAACCUGCCCUUGACUUUGGGAUAACUUCAGGAAACUGGGGCUAAUACCGGAUAGGAGCUCCUGCUGCAUGGUGGGGGUUGGAAAGUUUCGGCGGUUGGGGAUGGACUCGCGGCUUAUCAGCUUGUUGGUGGGGUAGUGGCUUACCAAGGCUUUGACGGGUAGCCGGCCUGAGAGGGUGACCGGCCACAUUGGGACUGAGAUACGGCCCAGACUCCUACGGGAGGCAGCAGUGGGGAAUAUUGCACAAUGGGCGGAAGCCUGAUGCAGCAACGCCGCGUGCGGGAUGACGGCCUUCGGGUUGUAAACCGCUUUCGCCUGUGACGAAGCGUGAGUGACGGUAAUGGGUAAGGAAGCACCGGCUAACUACGUG